GGAAGGGCUGUUCACAUUCCAUAGAGGGCAGUCCUAGGGGGUGGGGUUGGAAGGAGAGGGGUUUAGGAAAUUUGGUCCUUGACAGGGUAGCUGCUUCCCAGCAAGGAUUCUGUACUCUGCAAAGAUGGAGGACUUUACUAGAAUAUGACCUUCUAUAUUCUAGAUUCAAGAAGAACAUGUCUCCACCAGAAGUGGAUGAAGGACAACAAAAUUUAAAAAAGAAGUCUGUGGACCAACAGUGGCCAAGGUCAGUCCUCGUUUGCUGGGAAGAUUCUGGUGAUGAUGUUGGCAGUCUUGCUCCACUGUGCACAGCUUUUACAAAACCUAAAGGGCGGCACCUCACUUUGGGCAAUCUGCCAUCAGUCACAUUUAUUGGAUAAACUUGCAGGGUCAGCAUUCACUAAAAGGACAUGCAGACGAAAUUAGUCGGCGUUGCUUCUUUUUGAAGAGAACACAAAUAAAAUGGCUGUAAUCACCUCUCUGAGAGUUCAGAAUAACAGCUUAAAAAAAAAGUCUAUAAUCCAGAGGAAAAUAAAAAGACUGAAGAGAAUCACUCAGCAAGAACGUCUAGCAGUGUCUGAGCCUCAUGUAGAUAGAUCAUCUUAAUGAACUCAAAGGCUCUCAAAGAAGGAAAAACACACCUCUGUUUAUAACUGUCAAAAGGCGACCCAAAAAAGGUCCAAUUAUAAAAAUCAAACAAAUUGAAACCCAUUCCCUAUCUAUCUUUUAGUAAGACAAGAUGGAAAGAUAUUGCAUGAUCCUUAUAAACAUUUCCAAGUCCUUUAAUUAACUCUCAGAUUUCCUUUGCAACUAAGAAUUAUAGUCUUUUUCUAGACUUUUCACUUUCUCUCUUAAUUCUUCAUCAUUAAGGGAAUUCAUCAAGUAUACAGUAUAAGAUUGGGAAAGUUUCCAAAUUUUAUAGCUUGCUUCUAUCUUGAAGCCAAAACAUUUUAUGAGUCUCUUGGUUCUAAUGUUCUUAACUCACUUGAAUGUCUGAGCAUUUUAGAUGAGAGACAUUUUUAUCACUUUGACAAAAAUGGUAACUUUAAUGACUCCAUCAAAAAUUCAUCAAGUAUGUUUUUUUGUGAGGCCUUUUUAAAAUGAACUUACUAACCAACAAUUCUAAAGACCCCACCAAAAACUCUCUUUCAGCUCAAUACAUGAAUUAACUAUUUAUUCGCAUACAACAUCUUUAAAAAAUGAAUCUGAAUUGCAGUUAGAAAUCCAGAAUGAAGGUUUCUAACAG
rnacentral:lncRNA from 1 species